rnacentral:lncRNA from 1 species
CUGAUGUGUGAGAAAGAAAAUGCACCAUUUCCUUAAGACACCUCUGACAAAAGUUUUUUUGUUGCAUACUGCCAUCACCAGAACAUUUUAACAGUAACAGAUACACAAAUAUACAGCAGAUACACAAAUCUCUGAUGUCUGCCGCGUGAAAGGCCCCUCUUAGAUGCGAUGCCACUGGUUGGAUGUAGCUUACGGUGGUAAGAAUAAAGAAAUAGAUUUUCCACUACAUCUUGCAGCCAAGUGACUGCCAUUUUUCUUCCAUUCUCUCUUUUGUGAGCUUUCAUUAUCCUGGUGUCCUGAUAUAGCGGGGUCCUAGGGAUGUUUUAUUCUAAGGAUAUGAGUCUGUGGACACAUUGUACUGCUAGCACUAUUUUCUAAUUUGCGAGAGAUUUCUAUUUUAAGAAUAGUUCAUUGCAGGUUCCCAUUGUGGCACAGUGGAAACGAAUCGGACUAGCACCCUUGAGGAUGCGGGUUCAGUCCCUGGCUUCGCUCAGUGGAUUAAGGAUCUGGCACUGCUGAGAGCUGUGGUGUAGGUCAUAGAUGCGGCUCGGAUCCCGCAUUGCUGUGAAUUGGUGUAGGCCGGCAGCUGCAGCUCCGAUUCGACCCCUAGCAGACGCAGCCCUAAAAAGCAAAAAAAAAAAAAGAAUGUUUCUAACCUUAGCUUGAAAAUCCUAACAGUCUUUGAUCUCCGUAUCGUCAGAAUAUUUUCUGAAACGUCUUACUGUGACAUCAUCAACUCUGUGCUGGGAACAAUCAUAGUCAUGGAAAUCAACUAAUUCCCAUUGCGUGUUUAUAAUGUGCCUGGGAUUGUGUUUAGAUCUUGCCUUAGUUUGGUUGGGGUACCUUAGCACAAUGCUGCCGACUGAGUAGCUUAAGCAACAAACAUUUCUUUUCUCAUCGUUCUGGAGACUCGAAGUCCCAGACCAGUAUUGGUGCGACUUUCUUCCUGGGCUUUCUUCAUUGUUUGCGCUGUUUUUUAAAGUAACAUGGUCAACCUGAAGCUGCCAUGUCUCAUAUCGAGUAGUCUGUCUCUGUGGUGAAUGUAGAAGAUUUUUUUUUUUUUUAAAUCUUUCUUUGUCAUUUACUCUUCUGGCUCAGCCCCUCUGGCAACUCUUAGAGCAGGACCUGACACGUGUCCUGACACCACAGUUAGGAAGACUCUUUAUGCUCUGUGAUUGGGGUCAGCAAAAUUUUGCAUAAAGAGCCAGGAAGUAAUAAACAUUUUAGACUUUGCUGACCACAUAAGGUGUCUGUGUGUGUGUGUAUAUAUAUAUAUUUUUUCCACACACACGCACACACUUACAAGCCUUAUAUAUAUGUGUGUUGUGUAUAAAAUAACCCUUUAAGAGUGUAAAAACUCUUUUAGAGAGUAGGCCUUACAGAUAAGGGGCUCUCUUUGGUUUGCUGACUCUUGUUCAAUGAUAUAAUAAUAUCUUAACUUAGGGAUCCCUUCAUUUGAAAAGACAAUAAUUAUGAACAGCUUAAAAUCUGAACCAAGUUAUGACCGAUUGAACUUUAUAGCUUUCUAACCUCAAAGACUGAACAAGUCUAAACAUAGUCAGACAAAUGCUUUAGUUUGAUUUAUCUUUGCCUUUUUAAAAGUAAAUUGAACCUUAAGAAUAUAUAUUUCAAAG